rnacentral:rRNA from 1 species
AGUGAACGCUGGCGGCGUGCUUAACACAUGCAAGUCGAACGAGAACGGAUUAUAGCUUGCUAUAGUUGUCAGCUAAGUGGCGCACGGGUGAGUAAUGUAUAGGUAAUAUGCCUCUUACUAAGGGAUAACAAAUGGAAACGUUUGCUAAUACCUUAUACUCCUUAUUAACAGAAGUUAAUAAGGGAAAGAUUUAUUGGUAAGAGAUUAGCCUGUAUUGUAUCAGUUAGUUGGUGGGGUAAUGGCUUACCAAGACUAUGACACAUAACUGGUUUGAGAGGAUGAUCAGUCACACUGGAACUGAGACACGGUCCAGACUCCUACGGGAGGCAGCAGUGGGAAUAUUGCACAAUGGACGAAAGUCUGAUGCAGCAACGCCGCGUGGAGGAUGACACAUUUCGGUGCGUAAACUCCUUUUAUAUGAGAAGAUAAUGACGGUAUUAUAUGAAUAAGCACCGGCUAACUCCGUGCCAGCAGCCGCGGUAA